rnacentral:rRNA from 1 species
GUAGGGUGCGAGCGUUGAUCGGAAUUACUGGGCGUAAAGGGUGCGCAGGCGCCCCGCAAGUCUAGUGUGAAAUCCCCGAGCUCACCUUGGGAAUUGCGCUCGAAACUGCGGUACUGGAGUGCGGGAGAGGAAGGUGGAAUUCCUGGUGUAGCGGUGAAAUGCGUAGAGAUGUGGAGGAACACCGAUGGCGAAGGCGGCCUCCUGGGCCGAGACUGACGCUCAUGCACGAAAGCGUGGGGAGCAAACAGGAUUAGAUACCCUGGUAGUCCACGCUCUAAACGAUGAUGACUAGGUGUCGGGGGAAUUGAAUCCCUUAGUAACGCACGCUAACGCGUGAAGUGCUCCGCCUGGGGAGUACGGUCGCAAGAUUA